AGGUAUAGUCGGUGCAGCCAAGGAUGACUUGCCGGCCGGCCGCCGUCCGUGCUAGGGUUAGUUUCCUUGAUGACAUUUCUUCAUACAUCAAAUAAUGAAAAUUAUGAAGAUCGAGAAAGUUGAGACUUUAGAGAUCUACUAGUUGCCGGCAAGUUGUCUUUGGCUACAUUACUUACCUUG
rfam:Spinacia oleracea cultivar SynViroflay scaffold6166.con0005.1, whole genome shotgun sequence.